rnacentral:rRNA from 1 species
UACGAAGGGGGCUAGCGUUGCUCGGAAUCACUGGGCGUAAAGGGCGCGUAGGCGGGAUGGCAAGUCGGUCGUGAAAUCCUUCGGCCCAACCGAAGAACGUCGGCCGAUACUGCCGUUCUUGAGGGAUGCAGAGGAGACUGGAAUUCCUGGUGUAGCGGUGAAAUGCGCAGAUAUCAGGAAGAACACCAAUGGCGAAAGCAGCUCUCUGGGACGGUACUGACGCUGAGACGCGAAAGCGUGGGGAGCGAACAGG